rnacentral:rRNA from 1 species
UACAGAGGGGGCAAGCGUUAUUCGGAAUUAUUGGGCGUAAAGGGCGCGUAGGCGGCUUUGCAAGUGACGGGUGAAAUCCCUCGGCUUAACCGAGGAACUGCCUGUCAGACUGCAUGGCUUGAGACCAGGAGAGGUGAGUGGAAUUCCCAGUGUAGCGGUGAAAUGCGUAGAUAUUGGGAGGAACACCAGUGGCGAAGGCGGCUCACUGGACCGGAACUGACGCUGAGACGCGAAGGCGUGGGGAGCGAACGGG